rnacentral:rRNA from 1 species
AUUGAACGCUGGCGGCAGGCCUAACACAUGCAAGUCGAGCGGCAGCGGGAAAGUAGCUUGCUACUUUUGCCGGCGAGCGGCGGACGGGUGAGUAAUGCCUGGGGAUCUGCCCAGUCGAGGGGGAUAACAGUUGGAAACGACUGCUAAUACCGCAUACGCCCUACGGGGGAAAGCAGGGGACCUUCGGGCCUUGCGCGAUUGGAUGAACCCAGGUGGGAUUAGCUAGUUGGUGAGGUAACGGCUCACCAAGGCGACGAUGCGUAGCCGAGCUGAGGGGAUGAUCGGCCACAUUGGGACGGAGACACGGCCCAGACUCCUACGGGAGGCAGCAGUGGGGAAUAUUGCACAAUGGGGGAAACCCUGAUGCAGCAACGCCGCGUGAGUGAUGAAGGCCUGAGGGUUGUAAAGCACUUUCAGUGGGGAGGAGGAUUGCCAGGUUAAGAGCCAGGUAAUUGGACGUUACCCACAGAAGAAGCACCGGCUAACUCCGUGCCAGCCGCCGCCGUAA